rnacentral:sRNA from 1 species
UGCUAAAAGUAUAUGACUCUAUAACUUUUAGACCGUGAGGCCAAACUUGGCAUGUGAUACCUUUUCGAAAAGCCCAAAGAGAGCUCUCCAACUAAUGAGGAAGGAAAAUGGAAUUCUUCUAUUGGUUUUUUUUUCUACUCCAAAUUUUGACCUUAAUGUACUUUUUCGGGCCUUUUAAUGAUCUUUGCUAUAGUACAAGGCGAAAAUUAUAUGUUCGGACAUUGUUUUCGAAUAUUUUGUAUCUAUCAAAGCUCUUAUAAACAAGAUAGGGUAUUCCUACAUAGCUGGUGGGACCCACGGCAAAUGGAUCAUAAAGUCUUAAAAAAAGAAUAGAUACGAUUGCAUUGCAUGUAGUAACAGAUGCGAUCAUACCAGCACUAAUGCACCGGAUCCCAUUAGAACUCCGCAGUUAAGCGUGCUUGGGCGAGAGUAGUACUAGGAUGGGUGACCUCGAAGAAUGUCCUCGUGUUGCAUCCCUCUUUUUUUUCGGUUUUUCUCUUUUUUUGUUUUGUUAAAAAUGUAUGACUUUAUAACUUUUAGACCGUGAGGCCAAACUUGGCAUGCCAUACCUUUUCGGAAAGCCCAAAGAGAGCUCUCCAAUUAAUGAGGAAAGAAAAUGGAAUUCUUCUAUUGUUUUUUUUUUCUACUCCAAAUUUUGACCUUAAUGUACUUUUUCGUGCCUUUUCGUGAUCUUUGCUAUAGUACGGGGUGAAAAUUAUAUGUUCGGACAGUGUUUUCGAAUAUUUUGCAUGUAUCAAAGCUCUAAUAAACAAGAUAGGGUAUUCCUACAUAGCUAGUGGGACCCACGACAAAUGGAUCAUAAAGUCUUAAAAAAGAAUAGAUACGAUUGCAUUGCAUGUAUUAACGGAUGCGAUUAUACCAGCAUUAAUGCACCGGAUCCCAUCAGAAAUCUGCAGUUAAGCGUGCUUGGGCGAGAGUUGUACUAGGAUGGGUGACCUCCAGGAAAGUCCUCGUGUUGCAUUCCUCUUUUUUUUCUCGGUUUUUCUCUUUUCUGUUUUGUUAAAAGUAUAUGACUCUAUAACUUUUAGACCGUGAGGCCAAACUUGGCAUGUGAUACCUCUUCGGAAAGCCCAAAGAGAGCUCUCCAACUAAUGAGGAAGGAAAAUGGAAUUCUCCUAUUGAUUUUUUUUUCUACUCCAAAUUUUGACCUUAAUGUACUUUUUCGGGCCUUUUAAUGAUCUUUGCUAUAGUACGGGGCGAAAAUUAUAUGUUCGGACAUUGUUUUCGAAUAUUUUGCAUGUAUCAAAGCUCUUAUUAACAAGAUAGGGUGUUCCUACAUAGCUAAUGGGACCCACGGCAAAUGGAUCAUAAAGUCUUCAAAAAAGAAUAGAUAUAAUUGCAUUGCAUGUAGUAACAGCUACGAUCAUACCAGCACUAAUUGCAUUGCAUGUAGUAUGAGGAUGGGUGACCUCCCGGAAAGUCCUACUGUUGCAGCCCUCUUUUUUCGGUUUUUCUCUAUUUUGUUUUGUUAAAAAUGUAUAACUCUAUAACUUUAAGACCGUGAGGCCAACCUUGACAUGUGAUACCUUUUCGGAAAGCCUAAAGAGAGCUCUCCGAUGAAAGAGGAAGGAAAAUGGAAUUCUUCUAUUGUUUUUUUUUCUUCUCCAAAUUUUGACCUUAAUGUACUUUUUCGAGCCUUUUCGUGAUCUUUGCUAUAUUACGGGGCAAAAUUAUAUGUUCGGACAAUGUUUUCGAAUAUUUUGUAUCUAUCAAAGCUCUUAUAAACAAGAUAGGGUAUUCCUACAUAGCUGGUGGGACCCAUGGCAAAUGAAUCAUAAAGUCUUCAAAAAGGAAUAGAUACGAUUGCAUUGCAUGUAGUAACAGAUGGGAUCAUACCAGCACUAAUGCACCGGAUCCCAUCAGAACUCCGCAGUUAAGCGUGCUUGGGCGAGAGUAGUACUAGGAUGGGUGACCUCGAGGAAUGUCCUCGUGUUGCAUCCCUCUUUUUUUUUCGGUUUUUCUCUUUUUUUUGUUUUGUUAAAAAUGUAUGACUUUAUAACUUUUAGACCGUGAGGCCAAACUUGGCAUGCCAUACCUUUUCGGAAAGCCCAAAGAGAGUUCUCCAAUGAAUGAGGAAGGAAAAUGGAAUUCUUCUAUUGUUUUUUUUUCUACUCCAAAUUUUGACCUUAAUGUCUUUUUUCGGGCCUUUUCUUGAUCUUUGCUAUAUUACGAGGCGAAAAAUUAUAUGUUUGGACAUUGUUUUCGAAUAUUUUGCAUGUAUCAAAGCUCUUAUAAACAAGAUAGGGUAUUCCUACAUAGCUGGUGGGACCCACGACAAAUAGAUCAUAAAGUAUUCAAAAAAGAAUAGAUACGAUUGCAAUGCAUGUAGUAACGGAUGCUAUCAUACUAGCACUAAUGCACCGGAUCCCAUCAGAACUCCGCAGUUAAGCGUGCUUGGGCGAGAGUAGUAUGAGGAUGGGUGACCUCCCGGAAAGUCCUCAUGUUGCAUCCCUCUUUUUUUCGGUUUUUCUCUAUUUUGUAUUGUUAAAGAUGUAUGACUCUAUACCUUUAAGACCGUGAGGCCAAACUUGACAUGUGAUACCAUUUCGGAAAUCCCAAAGAGAGCUCUCCGAUGAAAGAGGAAGGAAAAUGGAAUACUUCUAUUGGGUUUUGUUUUUACUCCAAAUUUUGACCUAAAUGUACUUUUCCGGGCCUUUUCGUGAUCUUUGCUAUAUUACGGGGUGAAAAUUAUAUGUUCGGACAUUGGUUUCCAAUAUUUUGCAAGUAUCAAAGCUCUUAUAAAAAAAUAGGGUAUUCCUACAUAGCUGGUGGGACCCACGGCAAUGGAUCAUAAAAUCUUCAAAAAAGAAUAGAUACGAUUGCAUUGCAUGUAGUAACAGAUGCGAUCAUACCAGCACUAAUGCAACGGAUCCCAUCAGAACUCCGCAGUUAAGGGUGCUUGUGAGAGAGUAGUACUAGGAUGGGUGA